GGUUAAGCGACUAAGCGUACACGGUGGAUGCCCUGGCAGUCAGAGGCGAUGAAGGACGUGCUAAUCUGCGAUAAGCGCCGGUAAGGUGAUAUGAACCGUUAUAACCGGCGAUUUCCGAAUGGGGAAACCCAGUGUGACUCGUCACACUAUCAUUAACUGAAUCCAUAGGUUAAUGAGGCGAACCGGGGGAACUGAAACAUCUAAGUACCCCGAGGAAAAGAAAUCAACCGAGAUUCCCCCAGUAGCGGCGAGCGAACGGGGAGGAGCCCAGAGCCUGAAUCAGCAUGUGUGUUAGUGGAAGCGUCUGGAAAGGCGCGCGAUACAGGGUGACAGCCCCGUACACAAAAGCGCAUGUGCUGUGAGCUCGAUGAGUAGGGCGGGACACGUGGUAUCCUGUCUGAAUAUGGGGGGACCAUCCUCCAAGGCUAAAUACUCCUGACUGACCGAUAGUGAACCAGUACCGUGAGGGAAAGGCGAAAAGAACCCCGGCGAGGGGAGUGAAAAAGAACCUGAAACCGUGUACGUACAAGCAGUGGGAGCCCCACCACUAAGCCAGUGGUGAACUCCACAUACGCAUCCUUUGCUGAGGAUACGGUUAACGGAGCGAAAGCGACGUUCAACCGCAAAAGAAGCAGAGGGGGCUUAGUGGUGGGGUGACUGCGUACCUUUUGUAUAAUGGGUCAGCGACUUAUAUUCUGUAGCAAGGUUAACCGAAUAGGGGAGCCGGAGGGAAACCGAGUCUUAACCGGGCGUUAAGUUGCAGGGUAUAGACCCGAAACCCGGUGAUCUAGCCAUGGGCAGGUUGAAGGUUGGGUAACACUAACUGGAGGACCGAACCGACUAAUGUUGAAAAAUUAGCGGAUGACCUGUGGCUGGGGGUGAAAGGCCAAUCAAACCGGGAGAUAGCUGGUUCUCCCCGAAAGCUAUUUAGGUAGCGCCUCGUGAAUUCAUCUCCGGGGGUAGAGCACUGUUUCGGCUAGGGGGCCAUCCCGGCUUACCAACCCGAUGCAAACUGCGAAUACCGGAGAAUGUUAUCACGGGAGACACACGGCGGGUGCUAACGUCCGUCGUGAAGAGGGAAACAACCCAGACCGCCAGCUAAGGUCCCAAAGUCAUGGUUAAGUGGGAAACGAUGUGGGAAGGCCCAGACAGCCAGGAUGUUGGCUUAGAAGCAGCCAUCAUUUAAAGAAAGCGUAAUAGCUCACUGGUCGAGUCGGCCUGCGCGGAAGAUGUAACGGGGCUAAACCAUGCACCGAAGCUGCGGCAGCGACGCUGAUGCGUUGUUGGGUAGGGGAGCGUUCUGUAAGCCUGUGAAGGUGGCCUGUGAGGGUUGCUGGAGGUAUCAGAAGUGCGAAUGCUGACAUAAGUAACGAUAAAGCGGGUGAAAAGCCCGCUCGCCGGAAGACCAAGGGUUCCUGUCCAACGUUAAUCGGGGCAGGGUGAGUCGACCCCUAAGGCGAGGCCGAAAGGCGUAGUCGAUGGGAAACGGGUUAAUAUUCCCGUACUUGGUGUUACUGCGAAGGGGGGACGGAGAAGGCUAUGUUGGCCGGGCGACGGUUGUCCCGGUUUAAGCGUGUAGGUGUGUGUUCCAGGUAAAUCCGGUUCACUUUAACACUGAGGCGUGAUGACGAGGCACUACGGUGCUGAAGCAACAAAUGCCCUGCUUCCAGGAAAAGCCUCUAAGCAUCAGGUAACAUCAAAUCGUACCCCAAACCGACACAGGUGGUCAGGUAGAGAAUACCAAGGCGCUUGAGAGAACUCGGGUGAAGGAACUAGGCAAAAUGGUGCCGUAACU
rnacentral:rRNA from 1 species